AUGUGUGGUCCCAGUUACUCAGCAGGCUGAGGCUGGAAGAUCACUUGAGCCCAGGAGUUUGAGGCUGCAGUGAGCUAGGAUUAUGCCACUGCACUCUAGCCUGGGCAACAGAGAGAGACCCCAUCUCUAAAAAGAGGGAGAAGAAGGAAGGAGGAGGAAGAAGAGGAAGAGGAGGAGGAGAAAUACUGCUCUUUCUCAGGCCCAAGGUAAAAAGGUUUUUGGUCUCAUGUUGACCAGAAAGACAUUGAUAUUUAAUUAAGCAAUAUAAAAAGGCUCAUUGUUAGGAUUAAAGAGUAAGUAAAAUCAAUAUUGAGAUAGGAGGAUGGAGGACACCAACUGAGUUCCGAUCCCAAUGAAGAGGAGAAAAAGCUACAACUAUCUAGGUGAAAUAUCUACUUAUCCUAGAAGAAGCCUUUUGACAGCAACAUAAAAUUCAUACCUAUAGGUUUUUAAUUCCUAUGGAUGCCGUAGCAAAUAACAAAAACUUGGAUGGCGUAAAGUAACAGAUGUUUACUCUUUUCCAGUAUUGGAGACCAGGAAUCUGAGAUCAAGGUGUGGGCAGGGGUGCGCUCCCCCUGGAGGUUCUAGGAGAGGAUCCUUCCUGCCUCUUCCAGCUCCUGGUGGCUCCAGGUGUCCCUGGGCUUGUGGCCACAUCACUACAUUCUCUGCCUCCAUCUCCACGUGACCUUUUCCUCUGUGUCUGUGUCUCCUCUUCUGUCUCUUAGAAGGACACUGGUCAUUGGAUUUAAAGGCCACCUGGGUAAUUUAUAGUGAUCUAAUCUCAAGAAUCUUUCCUUAAUUACAUGCAAAUACUCUUUAUCCAAAUUAGUUUGCAUUCACAAAUUCUGGAGCUUAGUACUUGGACAUAUAUUUUGGGGGGUUGAUGGUUGGAGGGGCUUUUAUUCAACUCAGUACAUCUUAAUAAGGAAUUAAUGCCCCCCAACUUGCCUUACAAGUCAUAUAUUAAAAACAAUGUUGGCCUGGCACAGUGGCUCAUGCCUGUAAUCUCAACACUUUGGGAAGCCAAGGGAGGAGGAUCACUUGAGCCCAGGAGUUGGAGACCAGCCUGGAUAACAAAGGGAGACCCAGUUUCUACAAAAUAUUUAAAAAUUAGCCAGGCAUGAUGGUGCAUGCCUGUGGUCCUAGCUAUUCAGGAAACUGAGGUGGGAGGAUCACUUGAGCCUGGAAGUUCAAGACAGCAGUGAGCUAUGCUCACACCACUGCACUCCAUCCUGGGCAACAGAGCUGGACUCUGUCUCAAAAAACAUAACACUAAAACAUCAAAAUUAAAAAAAAAAAACACUGAAAGUAGCCUCCACUUACAAACUAAUUACUCUUUCUUGAAAAUAUUACACUUUUUUUCUUCUAUAUCUCUACUCCUAGCUCUCAACACCUUUCUUAAGCCCACAUCAUAACCUGUCUUGCAUAACUUUGUGAGUGCCCAACGUUUCACUGUACAAGAUUGUAGAGCUGCAUGCUUCUUAAGAAUAAAUCCACACUUUAGGUACCAGUAAAUCCAUGCAAUGCCUCAGACGUUAUAACCAAAUAAUGCCUGGAAAAUCGACAUGAAUUUAUGUGAAGCAUAAGCCUUUAAUUUUUUUAAAGAAAAGUAGAUUGCUGUUUUUCCACAUCAUUUCAGAGCCGUUCUCUAGUUUUGCAUGCCCUUUACUGCAGAACCAUACAGAUUUUGUUCUCCAUUUCAUACAUCAUUUGUUGAAAUGCCCUUUAAAAUGUAACGGAAUAUAGAGCUUUAUGGGAAAAAAUGCUGUAGAAAAUAAAUUAUCUUCUCUCUUUGUA
rnacentral:lncRNA from 10 species